rnacentral:rRNA from 1 species
AUUGAACGCUGGCCGCAGGCCUAACACAUGCAAGUCGAACGAGUGGCGGACGGGUGAGUAAUGUCUGGGAAACUGCCCGAUGGAGGGGGAUAACUACUGGAAACGGUAGCUAAUACCGCAUACCAUCGGAUGUGCCCAGAUGGGAUUAGCUUGUAGGUGAGGUAACGGCUCACCUAGGCGACGAUCCCUACCUGGUCUGAGAGGAUGACCAGCCACACUGGGACUGAGACACGGUCCAGACUCCUACGGGAUGCAGCAGUGGGGAAUAUUGCACAAUGGGCGCAAGCCGGAUGCAGCCAUGACGCGUGUAUGAAGAAGGCCUUCGGGUUGUAAAGUACUUGCAGCGGGGAGGCGGUACACGAAGAAGAAGCACCGGCUAACUCCGUGCCAGCAGCCGAGGUAAUAG